rnacentral:lncRNA from 1 species
UUUCUAACAAGGAUAUCAUGUUUCUGCUUAAAAAGUUGCUCAGUAUCACAAAAACACAAGUUGAUGCUUAUUCAAGAGUGUAACUUAACUAUAUUUCAAGCCAGUAGUUGCCAAUUUUAUCCUUCACCUCAUUCUCUCGUAUCUUUCUUUCUUUCCUUCAUGAUUCUCUUCUUUCCUUCCUGGCUGCCUGCCUGCCUGCCUUCCUUCCUUUUCUUCUUUGUACAAUACAACAGCUCAGGUGCCUCAGUUCUAGCAACUACCUCUGCAGCAACUCACACCACCAAAAUUCUCUUCUACCUCGCCAUUUCUUUCCUUGUUAUUUUCAAGUUUCUCCAGCCGCACACGGAGUGCCUUCCCUGUUUCUAGCUCCUAUACCACUAGUGACAGUAUCAACUUCGGCUGAAUCCUUUCUCCUCUGCUUUUGCUAUUUCCUAAACUCUCUCAAACUUCCAACCCCCCACACCACACGCUACUGCUAAGCUGCACGUGGCAGCCACUUCAUCAUCAUUAGCUUUGGUGUCUCUAUAAUCAGAAACAGUUGGAGAGAGGUUCUACGUGUCAGCUUCUGCUGUCAUUUUCAGCAACUUUAAUCUCUAGUUUUUUUUAAGAAAAAAAUAUAGUUUUACUUUCUUAAUAUUGUAGUAUCAGUAAUUUCUAAAAUGAGUCGAUUAUUUCUAUUGAAACUAUACCUCUCAAUUUAUAAUUUGCUUAGAAUAGAUUAUUGUAUUAAUUCCUAAUUAUCACUUAUCGUGUAUGCAGGGGUGCAGAAUAUCCUGAUCUCUGGCCUUCUCCCUCCUAUAAUGAGCCUCUGGACGUUUCUAAGAACUUUACAUUUGAUGUGAUAUCAGGCAUCCUGGCAGCUUAUUACAUUUUCUUCAACUAUUCAAAAUAUAUCUGAUACUCGACACUUCUAUGGCUUGAUUAAACUUCAACUGAGUUGUCUUCUUCUUGUGCUGCUAUGCUUAAUUCUUUUUUUAAAUCAAAUAUUUUCCUUCCAUGUGUAUUAAAAUAUUACCUAUUUUUUGUUUUCGAUAUUAAAUAACUUCUCUUAGCAACAUAUGUGAUGAAUCUGAAGCUUAUGUUCUCCCGUUUCGAGGAACAUUAGAUUAAGACUUCAUCAAAAUUAUUGGAAUCGCGUAUCCUUUUGUAGUCAAGACCGAAUAUGCGAAAAGAGAAUCUAAUAGUAAGAAAUAAUUGAUCAUGUAGCUUGAGUUGUGAUAGUUCCAAGAUCUGAUAGGAGAUUGUCUCCAAAUGCUUCUCCGUGCACUUCGAUUAAAUGUGCUGGUGUGGAGAUCUUCCAAUGAAAUGUUAUUUUUUAGUUUUGAUAGAUACUCAUUUAAUAGAUAGAGGACAGAGAUAUAUCCUCGAAUACAGAAGAGGCCGAUUACUUGAAUUCUCUUAUUCAAUGAUCUAAGGCGUUUAAAUAGGCUUGCAUUCAACGUUUAGAAAUUAGAAAAUAGCAAUUGAAAGGAACGUACAGAACUGGACGUGUCACAGCUGAUGUUCUAGCUUGGGAGGAGUUUUCGAACGUACAAUAUUUCAUCAAUCAACGAAAUUAUUAGGCAUUGAAUAUUAAUAGUAUAGUAUCUUCUUAACAUUGAUUACGCAUAACACAUAUUCCGCUCUUUUUUCCUUUGUAGGGGAAACUAGAAUUCGGAAAGUGGAGGACCAAACUUUGUCCUAGUUAUGAUGAUAUGGAGGCUAUCUUUGGAAAUGACUGUGCUAUAGGACAUUGCGCUGUAAUCGACAAUGAUAAUUUAUCCUCCAUACCCGGUAUGUAAAAGAUCGUAAAUAAAAAAAAUGUAUAUAUUUCAUAUUAUAUGAAAGAUCCUAACAAGUUCUUUUUUUCUCAGAUAAAAAAAUGAAUGAAGUUGACGGUCAAAACGAUGAUAUAGAUCCAAGCCUAGUUCGAGCUCCUAAGCAUAACAUCGAAGUAGGAACCAACAAAAUUCGAUGACGACGUAACCAACCCAAUGAUGAAAGUCGCAUAGCCAUAUCAAGCAUUGCUAAAUCGCCUAAAAAAAUUGCAAAUGCGAUGGAGAUUCAAGUAACGUUAGAUACACUAAACCAUAUCAAUUGGCAAUUGGUUCUAGAAAAAUUACAAAACAUUGAGAAGCAUGAUAUAAUGCAAGUCAUGAAAGUAUUUCGUUCGGAUGAGAGUCUGGCUAGAGUAUUUAUGAGCUUGACUGAUAAAGAAUUCAUGUGUGAUUUGGUCUUUGAGAAUAUUUGUCAUGAACCGCCUCCACUACUUUAAGAUGACGUGAUUGGAUAAUUCAACAAACAUAUGUAAAAGUAUGAUAUUUAUGUUGGUAUGAAUUGCUACUUCAUGUAAUAGAGAUUUUUUUUUUUUUUUUUUUUUACUUUUGUUCUUCUGUUCUA